AACGCACCUUGCACCUUUUGGUUAUUCCAAAAGGUACGCCUGUUUGAGUGUCAUGAAAACCUCUCAUUCCAAUUCUUUUCAUUAAGAAAAGGGUUGCGAUAUGGAUCUUGAGUGCUGCCAUGAUUUGGCUCACUUUAAAUAUAUAAGUACUUUUAUUGAAGAAAUAAAUGGAUAUUUACUCAGUGUAAUAUAUAACUAUUCAUUGGGGAGUGUGGUCAUUUUAAAUGAUGUCUACAGCCAUUUGGUCUUUUGAUAAAUAGCUUCCUAACCUUAUACAUUUUUAUUUACCCGCUGAACUUAAGCAUAUCAAUAAGCGGAGGAAAAGAAACUAACAAGGAUUCCCCUAGUAACGGCGAGUGAAGAGGGAAAAGCCCAAAUUUGUAAUCUGGCUCUUUUAUAGGAGUCCGAGUUGUAAUUUUGAGAACUGUUUUCUGUGCUGGACCAUAUACAAGUCUGUUGGAAAACAGCAUCAUUGAGGGUGAUAAUCCCGUAGAUGAUAUGGACUACCAGUGCAAUAUGAUACAGUCUCUAAGAGUCGAGUUGUUUGGGAAUGCAGCUCAAAGAGGGUGGUAAAUUCCAUCUAAGGCUAAAUAUAGGUGAGAGACCGAUAGCAAACAAGUACCGUGAGGGAAAGAUGAAAAGAACUUUGGAAAGAGAGUUAACAGUACGUGAAAUUGUUAAAAGGGAAACAUUUGAAGUUAGACUUGUUAUUAUUGGUUCAGCUUCUCUUUUUUAAUUAGGAGUUUAUUCCAAUGGUUGACAGACCAGCAUCAAUUUUUGAGUGUUAGAUAAGGGUCUUGGAGAAUGUGGCAACUUUGGUUGUGUUAUAGCUCCUGGCUUGAUAUAAUGCUUAAGAUUGAGGAACGCAGUGAGCUUCUUGGCGGAUUCUUUUUUGAAUCUUCAUCACUACGGAUGUUGGUGUAAUAGCUUUAAAUGACCCGU
rnacentral:rRNA from 1 species